rnacentral:rRNA from 1 species
GCAGCGCGGGGCAACCUGGCGGCGAGUGGCGAACGGGUGAGUAAUAUAUCGGAACGUACCCAAGAGUGGGGGAUAACGCAGCGAAAGUUGCGCUAAUACCGCAUACGAUCUAAGGAUGAAAGCAGGGGACCGCAAGGCCUUGUGCUCCUGGAGCGGCCGAUAUCUGAUUAGCUAGUUGGUGAGGUAAAGGCUCACCAAGGCGACGAUCAGUAGCUGGUCUGAGAGGACGACCAGCCACACUGGAACUGAGACACGGUCCAGACUCCUACGGGAGGCAGCAGUGGGGAAUUUUGGACAAUGGGCGCAAGCCUGAUCCAGCAAUGCCGCGUGAGUGAAGAAGGCCUUCGGGUUGUAAAGCUCUUUUGUCAGGGAAGAAACGGCUGUGGCUAAUAUCCACGGCUAAUGACGGUACCUGAAGAAUAAGCACCGGCUAACUACGUGCCAGCAGCCGCGGUAAUACGUAGGGUGCAAGCGUUAAUCGGAAUUACUGGGCGUAAAGCGUGCGCAGGCGGUUUUGUAAGUCUGACGUGAAAUCCCCGGGCUUAACCUGGGAAUUGCGUUGGAGACUGCAAGGCUAGAAUCUGGCAGAGGGGGGUAGAAUUCUACGUGUAGCAGUGAAAUGCGUAGAGAUGUGGAGGAACAUCGAUGGCGAAGGCAGCUCUCCUGGGUCAAGAUUGACGCUCAUGCACGAAAGCGUGGGGAGCAAACAGGAUUAGAUACCUCUGGUAGUCUACGCUCUAAACGAUGUCUACUAGUUGUCGGGUCUUAAUUGACUUGGUAACGCAGCUAACGCGUGAAGUA